AAAGACAACGCAUUUUUUUUUGCCACUGAAACUCUCCCAAUGGGUACACCUUGACGUGGUGGGAGAGCUUAGUACCCGGAAGGUUUAUCCUGAAGGGGAAGCUAAGUACCCAAACGCGCGGUUAACUUUCUCUAAGCCUUAUAAGGCUUGAUUUAUCAAUAUUUUUGUGCAUUUGCAAUUGCCGUCGACGGUCGCAUGAUUGCAAAGUCGUUAUCUCGAACCGUUAAUUGAAAGUGCGAUUCUCGUGUGAAAUGAAAUAUUGGUACGCGAUUGUGAAAUUCGGGAAUUUCGUGCAAAGUCUCGCGCGUUCGUUUUUUUAUUGUAUCGCGGAUAUUUUGUCACGUUUUAAUUAUUUUCGGAGUACCGUAUAAAGUUUCACGGGCGAUUGUCAUUUACCGUAUUUUCGCGAGUGCAGUGCGCGAAUAAAACGAACCUAAGGAGAAGAAAAAUGACAACCUGACAACCUAAAAGGAGGAGCUGAGAAGGCAUCGAGCUUCGGCGAACAAUCUUGAGAUCAACGUAGAACUCUCAGCGUAGUCAUCCGCUGCAUACCGACCAACUGAUCCGGGGUGGAUUUUCUAGGGACGGAUGACGCAAUUCCCAACUGAAUCUCGUUCUGGACAGACAAAAAGAGAGUUGGUCCGCGGCCGCUGCAGUGGCAAGAAAAAGCGACAGACGCGAAACGCAAAGGGAAGUGGAUUAACGUCGACCGCAAAGCUCGAGUGCCUCUUUAAACUUCGACGAUGUCAGUCUAUGUUGAUUCAGAAAAGAAUUUUCCUGAGUGCAUUCGCACGGGCAAUUAUUCGUUAUUGAGACUUCGUUACUUUAUGGAAUUUGCGAAAAAGAAGCGCGGUUGAAAAAUGCCGUCAUUGAAGAAAGGUAGGUGAACGCAGCUGGAAAAAAAACGCACGCAUAUGAUAUAUUCCAAGUUGACGCAGUGGAAUGCAUGAUCAGCGUGCAUGAUAGGCACGAGUUAUUUAUACGCUCGUAAAUUCGCAUCGUUGCAUAUUUGUCUACGCACAUGCGAAUAGCGGUUCGUAAUAAAACGCAUUCUGCCUUCCCAGAGCGCUGAAAAAAAAAAUGUUAACAAUAAGUCGUACAUUUCGCUACGUAAUGCAUUUUUGUUCUAUGUCGAAAGGAGAGGAAAAAGAAGAGCGAGAUGAUAUGCGGUGAUCGUUGUGUUUGCUCCCGCAGCCGAGAUAUUUUUUAAUCAGGCGCUCGGUUAUUCCUGAGAAUUUUGCGAAUUUACCUUACAUCACAAAGAUGUUUAAUUAAGAGGUAGCGAACCGUCGAGAAAUGUUGGUAGGUAUGCGCCGGCUAAAAAUAGUCCAGAAAAAUUAGCGAUGAUAUGUACUGCUGUUUAACAAGAGCAAACUGUCCGAAAGCCGAGAUAUAUAUGCAAUUUUGUAUCUGGAUUUAAUAUGCGUUAACGAGAAAUUGCGUUAAUGAGGAAUUUUUUAUAUCGUUGAAUAAACAAAUGCGAUAAAUUAAUAAGGAAAUAAUAUGCAUACUUUAUGGAAGUAAUUUCAUAGAUUCCUGAAAUUUUCUGUAAAGUUUUAAACCAAGUUUCUCUAUGGAAUUAUGAGAGUUUAUUAUUUAAUAAUUAUUUAGCGAGAUCGCUCGCGCAAACCUCAAUUUAAAACUUUGUAUUUUAGAAAUCUAUUAAGUUCCUUUCGACAUAGCAUACGGCAAUUUUCAGAACGCAGUUCAAGACGAGAAUACGAUAGAAGUUGGAUUUAUACCUAAAAGAGC
rnacentral:lncRNA from 1 species